rnacentral:rRNA from 1 species
UACGUAGGUGGCAAGCGUUAUCCGGAAUUAUUGGGCGUAAAGCGCGCGCAGGUGGUUUCUUAAGUCUGAUGUGAAAGCCCACGGCUCAACCGUGGAGGGUCAUUGGAAACUGGGAGACUUGAGUGCAGAAGAGGAAAGUGGAAUUCCAUGUGUAGCGGUGAAAUGCGUAGAGAUAUGGAGGAACACCAGUGGCGAAGGCGGCUCACUGGCUCAUUUCUGACGCUCAGGCGCGACAGCGUGGGGAUCAAACAGG